GAACCUGAACAUAGAUGGGAAAUAAGAAAACAGCAAACGAACAUAAUCUAGGUCAAGAAACAAUGAGAUUCUUCCUCAAGAAAAAGAUGUAAUCUUUAUCCAGUACUUGCAUAGUUGUGUUCAAAAUCAUAGGUAAACACGAAAGAGUUUGAUUAGUUGAUUCAGACAAGAACAAACGCCCAUGGGUUAAUUUUUGUGAACAGCUAGGUACUUGCAGUCUGUCCAAAUUUUAAAAUCAGACAGCUGGCAUACUGUCCAAAUUUCAAAAUCAGACAGCUGGCAUACUGAUGAAAGUGGGAGUAAACAACAGUCUCAUAAACUAGGCUAAGAUCUGUUUAGCACACAAUUGAGACAAGAUCCAAAACGAUGGAGAAAACAAACUGGGCCAAAAUUUGGCCCAUUGAGGGGGCCUCUCCACCGAUUUACACUAGGCUGCUAGAUGAACGAAACUCUCAACUUCUAGAUUGGCACAACACCACAUAACCAAGUAAGAAUGCAAGAUGCAACACGACGACGAAACGAAGCGCGAUGGUGGAUAGUAGGUGUGGGUACCUCAUGGUCGGGGGACACUUGGUCGUCGUCGCUUCCUCCCGGCACGGCACCCGCAGCGGCCACCACCACCGCCAACCGACGACUCGUGGUCUUGGAGGCCAGGAAGAUCGUGGGGAUCCCCAGCGCCAGCGUGUUGCCAUGACGAGGCGGUGCUCCGGUAGAGAUGAAGCCGUAGCAGGUGAAGCAACCGGCCGGGGACGACACGGCGGCCGGCUGAAACUCAGAGAAACCAGUUGUUUGAUUAGUCCUUUGAAACUAGAACGAAAAGUAGGCAGUUGAACCUGAAUAUGGAUGGAAAAAGAGAAACAGCAAAAAGAACAUAUACCGCGCCAGGAUUUUGUUCAGAAAUCGUUCUUGUGAGAAAAGAUGUAACCUUUACGCAAUCAGGGUGGGGUUGGCCACAAACGCAAUUGGGCGCUGUGAAACCUUGAAUAUCUCCAUCUCCAAUCAGAACGCUGACACCGGCCUAAAAAUCAGAGCACCCAGUUGUUUGGUUAGUAGUUUAAAACUAGAACGGAGUACCGACAGCUGAACCUGAACAUAGAUGGAAAAUAAGAAAACAACAAAGGAACAUAAUCUAGGCCAAGAAACAAUGAGAUUCUUCCGUAAGAAAAAGAUGUAAUCUUUAUCCAGUACUUGCAUAGUUGUGUUCAAAAUCAUAGGUAAACGUGAAAGAGUUUGAUUAGUUGUUUCAGACAAGAACAAACGCCCACAGGUUAAUUUUUGUGAACACCUAGGUACAUGCAGUCUGUCCAAAUUCCAAAAUCAGACAGCUGGCACACUGAUGAAAGUGGGAGUAAACAACAGUCUCAUAAACUAGGCCAAGAUCUGUUUAGCACACAACUAAGACAAGAUCCAAAACGAUGGAGAAAAUAAACUGGGCAGAAAUUUGGCCCAAUAGGCUGCUAGAUGAACGAAACUCUCAACUUCUAGAUAAGCACAACACCACAUAACAAAGCAAGAAUGCAAGAUGCAACACGGCGACAAAACGAAGCGCGGUGGCGGAUAGUAGGUGUGAGUACCUUGCGGUUGGGGGACACUGGGCCAUCGUCGCUUCCUCCCGGCACGGCACCCGCAGCGGCCACCACCACUGCCAACCGACGACUCUUGGUCUUGGAGGCCAGGAAGGUCGUGGGGAUCCCCAGCGCCAGCGUGUUGCCAUGACGAGGCGGUGCUCCGGUAGAGAUGAGGUCGUAGUGGGUGAAGCAACCGGCCGAGGAUGACACGGCGGCGGGCUGAAACUCAGAGAAACCAGUUGUUUGAUUAAUCCUUUGAAACUAGAACGAAAAACAGACAGUUGAACCUGAAUAUGGAUGGAAAAAGAGAAACAGCAAAAAGAACAUAUACCGCGCCAGGAUUUUGUUCAGAAAUCGUUCUUGUGAGAAAAGAUGUAACCUUUACGCAAUCAGGGUGGGGUUGGCCACGAACGCAAUUGGGCACUGCGAAACCUUGAAUAUCUCCAUCUCCAAUCGAAACGCCGACACCGGCUUGAAAAUCAGAGCACCCAGUUGUUUUGUUAGUAGUUUCAAACUAAAACGGAGUACCGACAGCUGAACCUGAACAUAGAUGGGAAAAUAGAAAAUAGCAAAAGAACAUAAUCUAGGUCAAGAAAUAAUGAGAUUCUUCCUUAAGAAAAAGAUGUAAUCUUUAUCCAGUACUUGCAUAGUUGUGUUCAAAAUCAUAGGUAAACGCGAAAGAGUUUGAUUAGUUUUUUCAGACAAGAAUAAACGCCCACGGGUUAAUUUUUGUGAACAGCUAGGUACUUGUAGUCUGUCCAAAUUCCAAAAUUAGACAGCUGACACACUGGUGAAAGUGAGAGUAAACAACAGUCUCAUAAACUGGGCCAAGAUUUGUUUAGCAUACAACUGAGACAAGAUCCAAAACGAUGGAGAAAACAUCCUGGGCCAAAAUUUGGCCCAUUGAGGGGGCCUCUCCACCGAUUUACACUAGGCUGCUAGAUGAACGAAACUCUCAACUUCUAGAUCGGCACAACACCACAUAACCAAGCAAGAAUGCAAGAUGCAACAUGGCGAUGAAACGAAGCGCAAUGGCGGAUAGUAGGUGUGGGUACCUCGCGGUCGGGGGACACUGGGCCGUCAUCGCUUCCUCCCAGCACGGCACCCGCAGCGGCCACCACCACCGCCAACCGACGACUCUUGGUCUUGGAGGCCAGGAAGGUCGUGGGGAUCCCAGCGCCAGCGUGUUGCCAUGACGAGGCGGUGCUCCGGUAGAGAUGAGGCCGUAGCAGGUGAAGCAACCGGCCGGGGACGACACGGCGUCGGGCUGAAACUCAGAGAAACCAGUUGUUUGAUUAGUCCUUUGAAACUAGAACGAAAAACAGACAGUUGAACCUGAAUAUGGAUCGAAAAAGAGAAACAGCAAAAAGAACGUAUACCGCGCCAGGAUUUUGUUCAGAAAUCGUUCUUGUGAGAAAAGAUGUAAUCUUUACGCAAUCAGGGUGGGGUUGGCCACGAACGCAAUUGGGCGCUGCGAAACCUUGAAUAUCUCCAUCUCCAAUCGGAACGCCGACACUGGCCUGAAAAUCAGAGCACCUAGUUGUUUGGUUAGUAGUUUCAAACUAGAACGGAGUACCGACAGCUGAACCUGAACAUAGAUGGGAAAUAAGAAAACAGCAAACGAACAUAAUCUAGGCCAAGAAACAAUGAGAUUCUUCCUCAAGAAAAAGAUGCAAUCUUUAUCCAGUACUUACAUAGUUGUGUUCAAAAUCAUAGGUAAACGCGAAAGAGUUUGAUUAGUUGUUUCAGAUAAGAACAAACGCCCACGGGUUAAUUUUUGUGAACAGCUAGGUACUUGCAGUCUGUCCAAAUUUCAAAAUCAGACAGUUGGCAUACUGAUGAAAGUUGGAGUAAACAACAGUCUCAUAAACUUGGCUAAGAUCUGUUUAGCACACAAUUGAGACAAGAUCCAAAACGAUGGAGAAAACAAACUGGGCCAAAAUUUGGCCCAUUGAGGGGGCCUCUUCACCGAUUUACACUAGGCUGCUAGAUGAACGAAACUCUCAACUUCUAGAUCGGCACAACACCACAUAACCAAGUAAGAAUGCAAGAUGCAACACGACGACGAAACGAAGCGCGAUGGUGGAUAGUAGGUGUGGGUACCUCACGGUCGGGGGACACUGGGUCGUCGUCGCUUCCUCCCGGCACGGCACCCGCAGCGGCCACCACCACCGCCAACCGACGACUCGUGGUCUUGGAGGCCAGGAAGAUCGUGGGGAUCCCCAGCGCCAGCGUGUUGCCAUGACGAGGCGGUGCUCCGGUAGAGAUGAAGCCGUAGCAGGUGAAGCAACCGGCCGGGGACGACACGGCGUCGGGCUGAAACUCAGAGAAACCAGUUGUUUGAUUAGUCCUUUGAAACUAGAACGAAAAACAGACAGUUAAACCUGAAUAUGGAUGGAAAAAGAGAAACAGCAAGUAGAACGUAUACCGCGCUAGGAUUUUGUUCAGAAAUCGUUAUUGUGAGAAAAGAUGUAAUCUUUACGCAAUCAGGGUGGGGUUGGCCACGAACGCAAUUGGGCGCUGCGAAACCUUGAAUAUCUCCAUCUCCAAUCGGAACGCCGACACUGGCCUGAAAAUCAGAGCACCUAGUUGUUUGGUUAGUAGUUUCAAACUAGAACGGAGUACCGACAGCUGAACCUGAACAUAGAUGGGAAAUAAGAAAACAGCAAACGAACAUAAUCUAGGCCAAGAAACAAUGAGAUUCUUCCUCAAGAAAAAGAUGCAAUCUUUAUCCAGUACUUGCAUAGUUGUGUUCAAAAUCAUAGGUAAACGCGAAAGAGUUUGAUUAGUUGUUUCAGACAAGAACAAACGUCCACGGGUUAAUUUUUAUGAACAGCUAGGUACUUGCAGUCUGUCCAAAUUUCAAAAUCAGACAGCUGGCAUACUGAUGAAAGUGGGAGUAAACAACAGUCUCAUAAACUGGGCUAAGAUCUGUUUAGCACACAAUUGAGACAAGAUCCAAAACGAUGGAGAAAACAAACUGGGCCAAAAUUUGGCCCAUUGAGGGGGCC
rnacentral:lncRNA from 1 species